UAUAGAAAUCAACAAUUGUUUCUAGAGUAGGUUUAGAUAAAGGGAUGGAAGACUGUCAAACUAGAACUGCUAGCUUCUGUGGUGUGAUUCUCCCAAGUUCUUAUCUUUAACUUAUCCUACAAAGGCUCAGUGUCAUUGUGUUCAUACUUCUAUAGUGCGGUUUUACGAGAGUUUAGCAUGUCAAGUUUGAGAAUGGUGUAUGUAUAAUGUGUUCAGACUUCUCACAUUUUGCUCUUUGAUCAUGUCUAGGUUGUUCUGGUAGUUCAGAUAGUCUGUUGGGUAGGGCAGUUCAUUGGUCAUGGAGUAUUUGAGAAACGUGCCCCUGCUCUUUUGGAUAACCUCAUUCAGGCCUUUGUAAUGGCUCCUUUCUUUGUAUUGCUAGAGGUACUCCAGACUUUAUUUGGUUAUGAGCCAUAUCCAGGAUUUCACUCAAUAGUGAAAGCAAAAGUAGAAGCUAACAUCAAUGAAUGGAAAGAAAGUAAGCAGAAACUAGUAUCUUAGAUUCUUCUUUAGGCUUGUACUUCUUUAAAACAACGAUCGCCCUCAAACAGAGGAAGAAUAAAAGCUACAAAUUAUGCUAAUAUGUUUUCUAAUAGAAGCAUCAACCAUGUAUGUUGCUUCCUCUUCGUUGAUAUGGUUUGGAUGCUAUCUUUUAUGACGUGGCAAUAUAUGGAGCAUGAUUUGUGUAAAAAUAUGUCUAUACUCACAUUCCAUAAAUCCAUGUUUUCCUUUUGUUUGUCUCUUUUUUCAA